UCAAUCUGACAGCCGUGCUACCCCUAGUCUUAGAUACACUUGUGCCCACUGCCUGCUGGCCAGUGAGCAUCACAGAAGAUGGCACAGGACGGGGCUGUGGUCAGGGUAUUCCUUUCCCACAAAGCUCACCAGGCUGUUUUCAGUGUCCUGAGCCAUUCUACUUAUUUCUCUCUCACUUAGGGAGAGUGGCUUCUGAGCCUGAGUUGAGAUGCUCCAAAUCUCAUCCCCUCCCCACUUUCCUCUUGGCUCUUCUUGGCACCCACUGUGCCCGUGGCCACAGACAUUAGAAAUCACCCUUGGCAUUCUGGGGCGGUACAGAUGCAAGAAAUUCCCUCAGGCGAGCUGGGUCAUAAACCACACCAUGAGCGCUUUGUCAAAGGCUGACUUCAAAGUGGCCCCAAACGGUGUUCCCACACAGCUGUUUCCCUCCUGCCCCACACCCCGAUUCUGCUGGAAAUUCUCACCUAUUAGUUAUGCCCUGCUGGAAAAGGUAAGCUGGGGAGGCAGGACGCGAGGUGAUGCGCCAUGCAGAGGGACCCAGGCUGUCUCAUUAAUGCCUCUGGCUGGAGAUGCUGCUGCUCUGCCUCCCUGUUGCUAAGGAAGGUUUCUAUGGCAAAGGCCCACCAAGAAAGUGAGAAUUAGAGAGUUAAUGUUCAAAACAGAUGAGCCUGACAUUUGUCGGCAGCUGGCUUCUUCAGGGGAAAUAAGCUGCUAGAAAGGAAGACUGGCCAUCUCGGAUGCUGUGCAGAGUGGGAGGUGCAGCUGGUGUGUUUACCAGUUUGUCUUGUUUUAACGUUAGUAGUUUGUGGUAAAUGCAACCUAUUAAAUGUUGGUUGAGAAAUACUCGUGUUAUAGGUGUGCUCUCAUAGGUUGAUGAGCUGCAAACUUCUGUCACACCCCAAAAACUCUUGCUGUCUUCUAGGCAUUUCCUCAUCAGCUGGAGCAGAGAGUGGGGAGGUAAACAUGACUUCCAUACCCUCAGGAAAAAUACACUAGUCAGGCUGGGACUGUGACUACACACAUGAGACAUCCAAAAAUCCUGGCAUCCCUGAGGCUUACCAAUACCCAAGACCCAUGGAGCACCUUCCUCAGCAGCCUGGAAUGGUCCCACAGUGCUGCUGGUCUAUUUUCUGUGUGUGCUGCAGAAACCCAGAGGCAUUUGCAUCUCAUACCCAGUGCUCCAAGGUCGAGGUAAUUUGGGAGGCACAGAGCUCCUGCACAUGAAACCACGUUCUGUCGGCAGUGGUGCGUCCCUGGUGGGAAAAGAAUUUCAUUUCCACGCACACAAUCAGCCUGAGAAAGGCAAAUGGUUCUGCAGAAAGAAAUCACCCAGCAGAAAAAUUGCUCUCGAGAUCAGGCCUCGGAGACAUGAGACAAGCAAGCAAACCAGUAAUUCUCUUGGAAGAAGGAAAGCAGGAAGCCUGUUACAGAUGCUGUCGGCCACAGAAACAUCUGGGAAGAGGAUCCUAUUUUCUGCUUCCUAGGUUAAAAGAGUGUUUUGACUCAUCCAUGCAAGAGGAAAAUGAAGGAUUUGCUGUGGCCCAGAGCAAGAGCUCUGACAGAACUCCCAUUGUCUGUGCUUGCUCGGGGUAACGGUGACACUGACGAUGAAGUCUUAUUUCUGCAGCCUUUGUACUUGGCUCAUUAGACAUUGCCUCACCGAAAAGCAUCCCCACCCCACGAAGCUGAAGAAUUCUACAGGGAAAGCCACUUUUAAACUAUAAUCCUGGAAACACCUAUGUCUGAGCUGUCCUAGUGAAAGUCAUGUUUGAGUCAUAUUAUACAAGCACCGUUCCUUCUGUAAAAGAGCCGGAGCUUUUCUAGAACAUCCGCUGCAGGUCUUAACUGGAGCUCAGGAGACAUCUCAAGUGUCCAGGUGAAUUUUACUUAAGAUCUUCUGUGAGUGAACCAUUUUCCUAAGAGCAAUGAUCUCCUAUAUAAAGGACAAACUACAAUUUAUCCUAAAGAUGGGCGACUGUGAAGCUAGCCUGGAUGGGGAGUGUGGUUUCUCUUCUAUUAGCACCUAACAAAUGGGAAAAUCACCUUUUGGCUAACAAAUGUAGAAGUUCCUGUUUAUAAAAUGAGGCAAUGAAGUUCACAGUUUCGCAUGCACAAAGACAAUGCAGCCUGACAGAAGUUCCCCCCAAAAGAGACAAAAAAAAUAUAAAUCUUCUUUCUGGGAUGUUUCCAUGGUAGCAGUAAUUGGCUCGCUGAGUCUCACUCAGCAGUUGUCUCUGAUGUGAAUGUAAUGUUUCCAGGGAAAACUGGCAAUGAAAAUUCAAAAGCUUUCCUAUGGAUGAGUCCCUGCCCUAAGAGUUUGAGGGGGAAUCCGACAGCAGUUUUACCGUAAUGAAAAUAAAGAAAUAUAUUCCAU